ACUUGUAUCUUCUUAUAAAAUAUUUAUUGAAGUAGAUUAAAUUUUAGCCUUUUCUUAGCCCAAUUUUAUAGAAUUUUUAGUCCAAGUUGAAUUCUUGCAAGAAGAUAACCCAAUUUUAGCAAGCCCAAAUCUUCCCAACCCAUGUAACCCAUGACCCGCGCCCAAAAACCCAUCCAAACCCAUCAGAUUUUUUGAACUAAAAACAAAACUCUAGGCGACUCUAUCUUCUUCUUCAUGAAGACAACAUGAAAGAACCCUAACCACUCCUUUUUCUUCAACACACACAAGACAAGAACCCUAGAACCCUUGGACAAUCGCCGCCGGAGACCCCAUUGUCCCUCCACGAGCUGCUAGAACAGCAGUGUCGAACACAAUCUUGAAAUCCCUCUUAUUCUUCUUCUCCCAAGCUCCAGAUGCCCAAACUCUAUCAACCAAGAAUACACAGUCGCCAGCCACCUCAUCCAUCUCCAUCUCCCAACCACAGUAGCAACAUACACACACAUAGGAAUAGGGAACAUAAAGAAGAGGGAAAAAUGAAACAGUGACACGAUACAUUAUCUACAUAAUUUUAACUUUGAAUUACAUACAUCUACACACAUACUCAUUAUACACAUACACACAGAGGGACGUAGGAACAGACAGAAGGGAGAACGAUAGAAAUUGAGGAAAUCCUUAGCGACGGAAGAAGGCAGCUCCGUCCCUGUCACUCUCUCGCAGCCCAUUUUUUUAUUCUUCCGUCAUCACCUCUAUUUCUGGGUUACUCUUUGAUUUUCAGCGUACCUUAUGGUUCAAGUAGAGAUUGAGUCCAGUUCGUCGGAUUCCGGAUCUCGUCGAUUAUUUGGUUUUCCGGUGAGGAUUCAAUUCAUUGAUGUCGUUCGAGGUUAUUUCUGUGGUCCGCAGAUCAAUCUCCUGCUGCUAUUGCAUUUUUAAAGUCAGAUUUCAAUCGUCGGGUUCGCUGUAAUUAAAUUCUCGUUAACGGAAAGAAAAUCUUGCUCAGAUGGUCAAAACUGCUCGAAAUGGGUCGUGUGGAUCAAACUAAGAAGAGACAAGCAUUUGGAAACAACUUUUUGAGCAUGAAACUAUUUUUCCUAAAAGAGACUUUGUAGUCAAAUUGCCAAGUAAGCCAGCAUCAUACUUUGAUCUAUUUUUAUAUGUAUUUAUGUUAUUUCUCGUAUCUCUUUUCUUUGUUUGUUGAUCAGAGGCAUCAUCUUUUAUUUGGAUUUAUCAAAUGUUUUUGUUGCUUUUAUUUAUUGCUUAUCGCUAGUAGUAUGUUUAGGACGUUAAUGUUCGGGUAGGCGAAUAUAUUAGGAUUUUCCUUUCCUUUUCUUUUAUAUGAGGUGAGAAGUCGCCCCUUUUAGUUAAAUUUGUUCGGGGAAUGCCCCGAAUGAUUUGUAAAUAUUCUAUUCCUGGGAAUGCCUCGAAGAACUUUGUAAAUAUUUUGGAAGCCCUGACGAGCAUUGAGGAGGCGCAUAUAGGUUUGUAGUAUUUUAUUUUUAUGUCAUUUUAUUUUAUUAGGCCGGGACGACCUCGAGCCUCGUGUGUUUAUUUUUCUUUUAUGUGUUUAUUAAUAUUUUAAAAGCCAACUAGAUCGAGUACACAACCGUGACCUUCACAGGACUCGGGGAAUGCCUAACACCUUCUCCCCAAGUCAAUUGAACCCCCUUACCCAAAUUUAUGGUACAGACUUAGUUUUGGAGUCCAAAGUGUUUUAAAAGGAAAAAUUAUUUUUUUUUUAAAAAAAUGGUGACCUGACACACCGAAUCAUGCGUCAAACUAAAUUGACCUUAGACUUGUGAUGAAAUCCUAAUCUGAAGCCCUAAAUACAAAAACAAAACAAAUGACACACAAAACCUAAAACGCAACUAAACAGAAUUGAAAUUAUGAUGAGCAAACCAAGAGAAGGAAGGGGAAAAGAAAAGAGAAAAACAAAUAGAAUUAAAGCAAAGAAAAUUACCUAUGUUUGUUCCAAACUGGACCCACUAUGAGCUUCAUCAAACUUAUCAAGGCAGAAAUGAACUUGAACUACCAUUAAUCGGCUGUUCUUAACAAGAACAAUCGACUAAUGGAUGUUUUGGGUUCACUUGACUAAUCAAUCGAACGAAAAAUCAGAAAAGGAGAAAUCAGGGCUCAAAGAAUCUGAGAUUUAAAAUCUGAGGAGUUUGGCUAUGAUUUUUGGGCAAUCAAUAGUGAGACAGUGGUGAGGGAAGGCUGGGAGUUAUAUGGUGUGAAUUUGGAGUCGUUUGGGUGAUUUAGGGUUUUGGGGGUUCCGAAUUUAGAUCUAAAAUUUGAGGUGCUUGGUGACGAUUUGAGGGAAGCCGUUUUGGGAUUCGAAAAGAGGAGAGGACGGGGAUUAUAUGGUGUAAUUUUGGUGGUAUUUGGAGGUGGUCCGUCGCCGUGGGCGAUUUCCGGCGGGUGAUCGACGGCGGAGACGGCGAAGUAUAAGACGACAGCUAAGGUUUGGUGUUUCUGAGUUUGAGAGAUGGAGAGUGAGCUGGGGUUUCAAGGUUUGGGGGGUGAACCGUUUUAGGACAAUUAAAUACUAAGGGAGUCCUUAGUUCCGGGCCAUUGGAUUAUCAAAAUCCAACUGUUGUGAUGAUAAAGGGAUGAAACAGGGUCGUUUUGGUUGGGGCAAGGCUGGAACGGGUAUUUGAUUUGGGCUUGGAUUUUGGGGCGGGUUUUUGGUGUGUUUGGGACAUAUUUGGGCAAAAUGUUUGGGCUUCAGCUCUUUGGCCCAAUUAAAACAAACCCCUUCUUCCAAUUCUCUUUUAUUACCUUUUUCUUUUUCUUUUUGUUUUUCUUUUCUUUUUUCUUUAAUCAAAAACCUAAAUUAAAAUCCUAAAUUAAUCUAAACUAUAAAACUAACCAAUUUCCUAAAAAUUAUAAAAAUUCCUAAAUCCUAAAUCAAAAAGAAAAAUCAAUAAUCUAGCAAUUAAAAGGUAAACAUGUAAAAUGGACCAUUUUUGUAAUUUUUAUUUUUAAUGGAACAAAUAAUUAACUAAUUAAUCCUAAAAAUGUAAAAAUAAAACCUAAAUGCAAUCCAUGGUAUUUUGGCAUUUUUCACGAUUUUUAAUGAAAAUUAAACGUGCACAAAAAUGCAAACAAUUAAUAAAAUCAUACAAAAAUCCUAUCAAAUGGCAAAUAAUUAGAAAAAAAACUAUUUACUUGGAUUUUAUAAGAGUAAUUCAAAUAGGGCAAAAAUUACGUACUCACACUAUGUAUUUUGCUUAUAAUAUAUAUACAGAAUAUAUAAGUGGCCCCCUAAACUUGGCCAUCUUUUUCAUUUGGACACUUAAACAUAUAGUAGUUUCUAUUGGGCACUUUAAGUGAAGACAAAUUGUGCCAGUUAGACACAUAUUUUGUUGCUCCAAACAAACUAAAACGUGUGUAUUUCACUUGCUGCCAACAUGACAAAGUAGGACCAAUAAGAAAAAAAAACAUGUCACUAAAGAAAAAAAGCCAAAUUUGAAGGACCCUUGGAGAUGAAAACUCAUCACUUUCUCCACCCACUAUUUUGUCGUCAAUGAACACUGUCGGAACUAUUGGAUUGCAACUGAGACUUGAAAGCUCGUAUUAUCACCAUUAUCUUUUCAGCUACAUCCUUUGCAACUUUCAGCAAGCAAACGGAUUUGCCACCCGUACUAGCAGCACCCAAACCCACCACCGCAGUAGUCCCUCACUAGAAAGCUGCUCUAAUAGCCUUGUCCUCUUCAUCUUCAAAACCAGCAAAAGCCACUUCCAUCACCGCUUACAAUUGUCCUUCGAUGGCGACCAUUAGGUCCUUAGGUGGGUUUUUGUCCGGGCUUUAGCUUCGCAGUGGUGGCGAUGCGGCAAGCAACGCUUCUUUCAUUCUUAAUUGACCAUUUUCCUAUUGAAUAUGAAGUGUAUUUUUAAAAAGAUUUCCGGUAUUGACUAUAAUUUUUGGUUACUGGAAUUGAAUUUGAAAGGUAGAGAGUGAUUAGCAUGGCAGUGUAGGAAGCGUGGUGAUACUGAAGCAACUGUUAUAGUGGUGGAGAUGGUGGCGGCACAAAGGAAGAAGAAAGAGAUUGAAAGAAAAUAUUGAAGAAAAAAGAAUCUACUUCUUCUCACGCGCUCAACACAAGNN
rnacentral:lncRNA from 1 species